rnacentral:tmRNA from 1 species
GGGGAUGACUGGCUUUGACAGCAUGUAGAAGUGAUGCGUAAGCACGUAGUGCGUCGUUGUUUUGCACUUAAAUCUCAGACAUCAACACUUUUUAAGUGGCGAAUAUAAUGAAUACGCUCUCGCAGCGUGAUCGAAAUAGAGUAGAUCACCGCUCUUGCGCUUGAGCCAUAGCUCGCGGCGAGACAUCACUCCGAUACCGUGAUCUCGAGGUGGUCGGAUAUAGUGGUGCCGGUAUAUCGGGAAGGGUUGGUGGAGCGUCUUUCUCUGCCGACGACAUUUAAGAGACUAAGUGAGUGGGAAGAUGGCUUUGGUCGUACCCGCUUGCCGACAACCUAAACAAAGCUAAACGUGUAGAAAGCGGAUUAGUUCCGUGUUUGGACGAGGGUUCGACUCCCUCCAUCUCCACAG